CAGCCUCCCCAAUCGCCUCUGUCUCUAUUCUCGUUCUCAGAUCUGAACUUGCCCCCUCUCUCUCUCUCUCUCUCUCUGUGUAACUGCAGACUACAAAAUCUACAAGAAUCAGAAGUUUAAAACCUAUAUAUUUUAGUUUAUCUAUCUGUCUGCAAGAAUCAAAAGUUCAAAAUCUAUUACCUAUAUCAAAACCCAUAUUGGCGUAUCAUUUCAGGUUGUUCAAAAAAUCAAAACCCAUUAUCUUUCAGCUUCCAUCGCCCGCUGUUCCAGUUCGGGUUUGACGUUCGCAAGCUUCAGCCACUGGCCCGUUGUCUCUCAACUCGCAAGCUUGCCCACCUCUCUCUCUGCAACUGCUAACUUGGUUAGCAUCGGGCCUUAACAUUUAGCAAGAAUAAGGUUCAAGAAAUAUGCCUCCUCAAUCAUCAGGUCUCUUUUCUAAAAGAGUUGAUGGGAAUGGGUGGAGUAGGGGAAAAGAAAGAAAACAGCACUUUGUUUGAAGGGCGGGAAUUCAUUACUACGGACUCAAAUGGGCAAUAUAAAAAGAUUACGAUAUUUGAGAAAGUAUAUUACAAGCUCCCCUAGUUGCGGACGUAAGACACCGAUGGUGAAAUAAUUAGGACUACCUACAAUGACGAGGCUCACAACCAUUGAGAUGAGCUCAUGGUGAAAGAUCUUGAGUGUCGAUCUUUGGAGGUUCGUAUUAUUAGGCACAUUUGUUUCUCUCCGUUUUCCUGUCUUCUCUUCAUGGGGUGGGUUGAUCUUCUUGGACUGUUCUCAAAAAAACUUAAUGUAAAUGUGAUAGUGAAAUUUCUUGAAUACAUUAUCUUCAAAUUAUUGGUAUUAGAUAAAUUUAUUAGGCACAUUUGUUUCUCUCUGUUUUCAUGUCUUCUCUUCAUGGGUGGGUUGAUCUUCUUGGACAGUUCUCAAAAAGAUUUAAUGUAAAUGUGAUAGUGAAAUUUCUUGAAUACAUUAUUUUCAAAUUAUUGGUAUCAGAGAAAUUUAUUAUUUAAUGGAGUUUAUUUCGAGGAUUUAAUUAUUA